rnacentral:rRNA from 1 species
AACGAACGCUGGCGGCAUGCCUAACACAUGCAAGUCGAACGAAGGCUUCGGCCUUAGUGGCGCACGGGUGCGUAACGCGUGGGAAUCUGCCCUUUGGUUCGGAAUAACAGCUGGAAACGGCUGCUAAUACCGGAUGAUGACGAAAGUCCAAAGAUUUAUCGCCAGAGGAUGAGCCCGCGUUGGAUUAGGUAGUUGGUGGGGUAAAGGCCUACCAAGCCGACGAUCCAUAGCUGGUCUGAGAGGAUGAUCAGCCACACUGGGACUGAGACACGGCCCAGACUCCUACGGGAGGCAGCAGUAGGGAAUAUUGGACAAUGGGCGCAAGCCUGACCCAGCAAUGCCGCGUGAGUGAUGAAGGCCCUAGGGUUGUAAAGCUCUUUUACCCGGGAAGAUAAUGACUGUACCGGGAGAAUAAGCCCCGGCUAACUCCGUG